rnacentral:rRNA from 1 species
AUUGAACGCUGGCGGCAUGCCUUACACAUGCAAGUCGAACGGCAGCGCGGGGCAACCUGGCGGCGAGUGGCGAACGGGUGAGUAAUAUAUCGGAACGUACCCUGGAGUGGGGGAGUAACGUAGCGAAAGCUACGCUAAUACCGCAUACGAUCUACGGAUGAAAGCAGGGGAGUCGCAAGACCUUGCGCGAAUGGAGCGGCCGAUGGCAGAUUAGGUAGUUGGGAGGUAAAGGCUCACCAAGCCUUCGAUCUGUAGCUGGUCUGAGAGGACGACCAGCCACACUGGGAC